rnacentral:rRNA from 1 species
AGGACGAACGCUGGCGGCGUGCUUAACACAUGCAAGUCGAGCGGUAAGGCCUUUCGGGGUACACGAGCGGCGAACGGGUGAGUAACACGUGGGUGAUCUGCCCUGCACUCUGGGAUAAGCCUGGGAAACUGGGUCUAAUACCGGAUAUGACCUGCUCUCGCAGUGGGGGUGGGUGGAAAGAUUUAUCGGUGCAGGAUGGGCCCGCGGCCUAUCAGCUUGGUUGGUGGGGUAAUGGCCUACCGAAGGCGACGACGGGUAGCCGACCUGAGAGGGUGACCGGCCACACUGGGACUGAGACACGGCCCAGACCUCCUACGGGGAGCAGCAGUGGGGAAUAUUGCA